AUGAACGCUGGCGGCGUGCCUAAUACAUGCAAGUCGAACGCUUCACAUAUGUGAAGAGUGGCGAACGGGUGAGUAAUACAUAAGUAACCUGGCCUUUACAGGGGGAUAACUAUUGGAAACGAUAGCUAAGACCGCAUAGGUGUCAUAACCGCAUGGAGAUGACAUGAAAUAUGCUGCGGCAUAGGUAGAGGAUGGACUUAUGGCGCAUUAGCUAGUUGGAGGGGUAACGGCCCACCAAGGCGACGAUGCGUAGCCGACCUGAGAGGGUGACCGGCCACACUGGGACUGAGACACGGCCCAGACUCCUACGGGAGGCAGCAGUAGGGAAUUUUCGGCAAUGGGGGAAACCCUGACCGAGCAACGCCGCGUGAAGGAAGAAGUAAUUCGUUAUGUAAACUUCUGUCAUAGAGGAAGAACGGUGCGUGUAGGGAAUGACAUGCAAGUGACGGUACUCUAUAAGAAAGCCACGGCUAACUACGUGCCAGCAGCCGCGGUAAUACGUAGGUGGCGAGCGUUAUCCGGAAUUAUUGGGCGUAAAGAGGGAGCAGGCGGCACUAAGGGUCUGUGGUGAAAGAUCGAAGCUUAACUUCGGUAAGCCAUGGAAACCGUAGAGCUAGAGUGUGUGAGAGGAUCGUGGAAUUCCAUGUGUAGCGGUGAAAUGCGUAGAUAUAUGGAGGAACACCAGUGGCGUAGGCGACGAUCUGGCGCAUAACUGACGCUCAGUCCCGAAAGCGUGGGGAGCAAAUAGGAUUAGAUACCCUAGUAGUCCACGCCGUAAACGAUGAGUACUAAGUGUUGGGAGUCAAAUCUCAGUGCUGCAGUUAACGCAAUAAGUACUCCGCCUGAGUAGUACGUUCGCAAGAAUGAAACUCAAAGGAAUUGACGGGGGCCCGCACAAGCGGUGGAGCAUGUGGUUUAAUUCGAAGCAACGCGAAGAACCUUACCAGGUCUUGACAUCGAUCUAAAGGCUCCAGAGAUGGAGAGAUAGUUAUAGAGAAGACAGGUGGUGCAUGGUUGUCGUCAGCUCGUGUCGUGAGAUGUUGGGUUAAGUCCCGCAACGAGCGCAACCCUUAUCCUUUGUUGCCAGCGGUUAGGCCGGGAACUCAAAGGAGACUGCCAGUGAUAAACUGGAGGAAGGUGGGGAUGACGUCAAAUCAUCAUGCCCCUUAUGACCUGGGCUACACACGUGCUACAAUGGACAGAGCAGAGGGAAGCGAAGCCGCGAGGUGGAGCGAAACCCAGAAAACUGUUCUCAGUUCGGACUGCAGUCUGCAACUCGACUGCACGAAGUUGGAAUCGCUAGUAAUCGCGAAUCAGCAUGUCGCGGUGAAUACGUUCUCGGGCCUUGUACACACCGCCCGUCACACCAUGAGAGUCGGUAACACCCGAAGCCGGUGGCCUAACCGCAAGGAAGGAGCUGUCUAAGGUGGGACUGAUGAUUGGGGUG
rnacentral:rRNA from 1 species